UGCGCAGGCGGAGCGAUAAGUCAGUGGUGAAAUCCUGCAGCUUAACUGCAGAGCUGCCAUUGAUACUGUCGUUCUUGAGUAUAGUUGAAGUGGGCGGAAUGUGUCAUGUAGCGGUGAAAUGCUUAGAUAUGACACAGAACACCGAUCGCGAAGGCAGCUCGCUAAACUAUAACUGACGCUCAUGCACGAAAGCGUGGGGAUCAAACAGGAUUAGAUACCCUGGUAGUCCACGCCGUAAACGAUGAUUACUCGAUGUUGGCGAUAUACAGUCAGCGUCUAAGCGAAAGCAUUAAGUAAUCCACCUGGGGAGUACGUUCGCAAGGAUGAA
rnacentral:rRNA from 1 species